rnacentral:rRNA from 1 species
AAAUUGAAGAGUUUGAUCAUGGCUCAGAUUGAACGCUGGCGGCAGGCCUAACACAUGCAAGUCGAACGGUAACAGGAAGCAGCUUGCUGCUUUGCUGACGAGUGGCGGACGGGUGAGUAAUGUCUGGGAAACUGCCUGAUGGAGGGGGAUAACUACUGGAAACGGUGGCUAAUACCGCAUAACGUCGCAAGACCAAAGAGGGGGACCUUCGGGCCUCUUGCCAUCAGAUGUGCCCAGAUGGGAUUAGCUUGUUGGUGGGGUAACGGCUCACCAAGGCGACGAUCCCUAGCUGGUCUGAGAGGAUGACCAGCCACACUGGAACUGAGACACGGUCCAGACUCCUACGGGAGGCAGCAGUGGGGAAUAUUGCACAAUGGGCGCAAGCCUGAUGCAGCCAUGCCGCGUGUAUGAAGAAGGCCUUCGGGUUGUAAAGUACUUUCAGCGGGGAGGAAGGUGUUGUGGUUAAUAACCGCAGCAAUUGACGUUACCCGCAGAAGAAGCACCGGCUAACUCCGUGCCAGCAGCCGCGGUAAUACGGAGGGUGCAAGCGUUAAUCGGAAUUACUGGGCGUAAAGCGCACGCAGGCGGUCUGUCAAGUCGGAUGUGAAAUCCCCGGGCUCAACCUGGGAACUGCAUUCGAAACUGGCAGGCUUGAGUCUUGUAGAGGGGGGUAGAAUUCCAGGUGUAGCGGUGAAAUGCGUAGAGAUCUGGAGGAAUACCGGUGGCGAAGGCGGCCCCCUGGACAAAGACUGACGCUCAGGUGCGAAAGCGUGGGGAGCAAACAGGAUUAGAUACCCUGGUAGUCCACGCCGUAAACGAUGUCUACUUGGAGGUUGUGCCCUUGAGGCGUGGCUUCCGGAGCUAACGCGUUAAGUAGACCGCCUGGGGAGUACGGCCGCAAGGUUAAAACUCAAAUGAAUUGACGGGGGCCCGCACAAGCGGUGGAGCAUGUGGUUUAAUUCGAUGCAACGCGAAGAACCUUACCUGGUCUUGACAUCCACGGAAGAAUUCAGAGAUGGAUUUGUGCCUUCGGGAACCGUGAGACAGGUGCUGCAUGGCUGUCGUCAGCUCGUGUUGUGAAAUGUUGGGUUAAGUCCCGCAACGAGCGCAACCCUUAUCCUUUGUUGCCAGCGGUCAGGCCGGGAACUCAAAGGAGACUGCCAGUGAUAAACUGGAGGAAGGUGGGGAUGACGUCAAGUCAUCAUGGCCCUUACGACCAGGGCUACACACGUGCUACAAUGGCGCAUACAAAGAGAAGCGACCUCGCGAGAGCAAGCGGACCUCAUAAAGUGCGUCGUAGUCCGGAUUGGAGUCUGCAACUCGACUCCAUGAAGUCGGAAUCGCUAGUAAUCGUGGAUCAGAAUGCCACGGUGAAUACGUUCCCGGGCCUUGUACACACCGCCCGUCACACCAUGGGAGUGGGUUGCAAAAGAAGUAGGUAGCUUAACCUUCGGGAGGGCGCUUACCACUUUGUGAUUCAUGACUGGGGUGAAGUCGUAACAAGGUAACCGUAGGGGAACCUGCGGUUGGAUCACCUCCUUACCUUAAAGAAGC